GACGAACGCUGGCGGCGUGCCUAAUACAUGCAAGUAGAACGCUGAAGAGAGGAGCUUGCUCUUCUUGGAUGAGUUGCGAACGGGUGAGUAACGCGUAGGUAACCUGCCUUGUAGCGGGGGAUAACUAUUGGAAACGAUAGCUAAUACCGCAUAACAAUGGAUGACACAUGUCAUUUAUUUGAAAGGGGCAAUUGCUCCACUACAAGAUGGACCUGCGUUGUAUUAGCUAGUAGGUGAGGUAAUGGCUCACCUAGGCGACGAUACAUAGCCGACCUGAGAGGGUGAUAGGCCACACUGGGACUGAGACACGGCCCAGACUCCUACGGGAGGCAGCAGUAGGGAAUCUUCGGCAAUGGGGGCAACCCUGACCGAGCAACGCCGCGUGAGUGAAGAAGGUUUUCGGAUCGUAAAGCUCUGUUGUAAGUCAAGAACGGGUGUGAGAGUGGAAAGUUCACACUGUGACGGUAGCUUACCAGAAAGGGACGGCUAACUACGUG
rnacentral:rRNA from 1 species